CUCAAAAAUGAGAUCCUCCUACUCGGCCUCCACAGCAGCUGGGAUUACAGGCACAUGGUGUCAUUCCUGGCUAUUGUUAUUUUUAAAAUUUGUUGCUGGCCUGCGCAAGUGCAAGGACCUGAGUUCGAUCCUCAGUACCAAAAAAAAAAAAAAAAAAUUUCUUGCUGGGGCCUCGUGCAUGCUCUGCCACUGAGCUAUGUCCCAGCCAAAGUGUUACCUUUGGAGGGGAAGGAGGAGCUUGAACCUACAGAAGGCCCUGCAGACGGCUGCUAGAACAUCAGCAGUCCCCUAUUCUCAUCCUGGGUGGCGAGUAUACAGGCGAUAUUUUCCCAUAGUUCUUCAAAUGGUAUUUAUGUUCUGUGUAUCUUUCUGAAUGUGUGUUUUAUUCAACUAAACUAUGUGAUAUUGCCACUAUUCAAUCCUGUUAAUCUACAAAAUAGUGAUUUAUAUGAUUCAACUUGAUGUUCCACAAUAAAAAAAAAUAAUUUACAUCAAGUUGAGAAACCAUUCAACAUGAUGGUUGUGAGGGCUAUCAAAAGCUUCAUUCUCCAGUUAUUCAUUAUUCAUUCACUAUUCAUUCAUGUUUCCGGGGAGGUUAUUCUGAAGCAGGCAGAUUUCUAGGCACUGGGAUACAGUGGGAAUUCUGUCCUGGGGCUUGCCAUCACACGGGAAAAGUGAUCAAACCACAAACACGGAACCAUCUAGCAUGUCAUAUUGUGAUAUGUGGAAAGCAAAACAAGUAGAGGAAGGGAACAGGGAGGAGGAGACAUUUUAGGAAGGGGAGUCAGAAAAACCAGGAGGAGGUGGCGCCUGAAAACACCACGGGAUGGAGGGCGAGAGGGAACGGCUGCAGUGUCGGGGAGCUCAGCAGAGGCCCCGGGGACAGGCCCGGCUGGACUGAGGGCCAAGGAGCCUGGUGUUGCUGAAACACAGCGAGGGAAGGAGAGGAUGGGAGACUUGAGAAGGGAGGAGGCAGCAGGGACAGUCAGACGAUUUGUUGACGGACUGCAUGUAAGCUAAGAGGAAGAGGAGUCAAUAAUGUGUACAAUACUAAAAAAAAUAGAAGACAACCGUGUACAAGCAUUCUGCUCACCCGUGUGUGGUGCUCUAGCUGCCACUGGACCACGGUGAAAGAAGAUGAGGUGGGAAUCCCUUGGAGGAAAAAGAACUCUCACCGUCAAAGGAAAUUCUGCAAGGAGCUUUACACUCUCAGAGCCAAGGAGGGAUGUAAACGCUCACACCAGACCUGGGAAACACCUCAUCUGCAACUCCCUGGCACAGUGAGCUUGCUCAGCUGGUCUCAGGGGAGCCUACCAGGGCUGUGGGCUUGGAGUCUUAGGAGCUGGGUUCCCUCCUCCAGUCACCUCGCCAGUCUGUGUGUGUUGGUUUUUGUUUUGGUACCGGGGAUUGAACUCAGGACCUUGCGCUUGCGAGGCAGGCGCCGGAACCACUGAGCUAAAUCCCCGGCCCUACCUUGCUAAUCUGAAGCUUGGGAUCCUCCUUGCAAGUGGGGAUAUCAGUAUUUUCCCCUUUCCAGGAUUGAUGCGACAGCCAAGUGAGCAAUGGAUGGAAUGAU
rnacentral:lncRNA from 1 species